AGUUUUCUCUUUGUAGUCUCCCUGAUCUCAUAAUUCUCUUGUAACUUUUCCUUCAACCUUGAAGCUCCACCACUGGUGCAGCACGUGAUGACAACUCCUGAUCGAACUGUUCUAGCAGUCUUCACUCCCACUUUCAAGUCUUUGAGAUUGACCUCCUGCUUUACCUUUUCCAACAGCUUCUUUGGUUCGAUUGCCUCCAUGCCCUUGUAGGGGGUACACAAGUACUGCUGCAUCUUCUCGUCGUGGGAUUGGUCGUUUUAUGAUAUCCGAAUACAGAGAUUUAGAUGGUCGUUCCUCUGUUUGCCUGUGCUCUAAUUCACGUUGUAAGUCUUCCACUUUCUCGCACACCUUGAUGAAUUCGUCAAGUAGCCCUUCAAAAAUGGUUGACAUUGUAGCUAGAUUAUUCGGAAUAUUAUCCCUUAUCGAUCUCUUUAGAUUCUUGCUUUCAUCUAGGGCACUAAAACCCUACUUAACGUGCGGCGAUACAACUGGCCAUUAUGCACCCCCCUCUCAGAGUUCGCUUGGUCUCUGAUAACACCGGGAGAAGUCAUGACACCUAAUCAAGAUUAUUUAAUCUAUAAAGUAAAUGUAAGUAAAUAAAGUAAAAUGUUCAGGAAAUUUUUCAAUUUUCUAAUUAACCUAUAUAAUGAUAUAUGUAUUAAGAAACUGCAAAAAGAGAUGAACUCAAAAAUAUAGAAUACUAGCAAUCAAUAAUUGAAACUGGAGCUUAAAACAGAAAAGCUUUCAAUCCGCAACCUGAAAAGUUCUAGAAUGUUCUAUUCUGAAAAAUUUUUAGAUUUACCCUAACAAAUUAUAUAUUUUUGGAACCCUUAUUAAAUUCUAAGACCAACUAUUAUAAAUUUCGUAAUAUAACCUAAAUUAACAAAAUCUACUUAAGAAAACUGAAUAUCCAGUACUAUCAACUAAAUGCAAUCCUUACUUCUUAAAUAAUGAAAGAAACCACCCAGGAGCACAGGUUCCGGUCUGCCCUCUUACCAACCUGAAAAGCUGGCUUAAAAUUGUUGGCUGAAAACAGUUCUGCUUCUACAUGAUCAUUGAAAAUUCUGAUAUUACUCCGUAAGGCCUCAGCAGUGAUGUCUAGUGGAGCUCUAGUGAUCAUAAUUCUGGAUUUUCUCUUUGUAGUCUCCCUGGCCUCAUAAUUCUCUUGUAACUUUUCCUUCAACCUUGAAGCUCCACC
rnacentral:lncRNA from 1 species